rnacentral:sRNA from 1 species
UUUUAGAGAUACCGACAUGGUACAGCCUUCAAGGGAACCAAGGGAAUUACGAACACCAGCUUUAGGAGAGUACUUAAUUCCUGGCAGGGAAGGACAAGGAGUGAGUUGGAGAGAGACACGCCAGGGGCUGGCAGUUUGCGGUGAUGUCCUCUUCCUGCACCCAGGAGUUGGGUGCGAGUGUCUGUGUAUUUGUGAUGCUUUAAGCCUGACACACGUUUCUUAACGAGUGCUCAGUAUUUUGUAUAAGUAAUUGACACGGGGACAGAACCCAUGGCACUGAGGGCUAUGUGGGCUCCCCGCUCAUUGCAGAGCGCCUCCGCAGGGAGGAGAAGCAGCGACAGGAGCUGGAGAAGACCCGCCGGAAGCUGGAGGGAGACUCCACAGACCUCAGCGACCAGAUCGCCGAGCUCCAGGCGCAGAUCGCGGAGCUCAAGAUGCAGCUGGCCAAGAAAGAGGAGGAGCUCCAGGCCGCCCUGGCCAGAGUGGAAGAGGAAGCUGCCCAGAAGAACAUGGCCCUCAAGAAGAUCCGGGAGCUGGAAUCUCAGAUCUCUGAACUCCAGGAAGACCUGGAGUCUGAGCGUGCUUCCAGGAAUAAAGCUGAGAAGCAGAAACGGGACCUUGGGGAAGAGCUAGAGGCGCUGAAAACAGAGUUGGAGGACACGCUGGAUUCCACAGCUGCCCAGCAGG